rnacentral:rRNA from 1 species
GACGAACGCUGGCGGCGUGCUUAACACAUGCAAGUCGAACGGAAAGGCCCUGCUUUUGUGGGGUGCUCGAGUGGCGAACGGGUGAGUAACACGUGAGUAACCUGCCCUUGACUUUGGGAUAACUUCAGGAAACUGGGGCUAAUACCGGAUAGGAGCUCCUGCUGCAUGGUGGGGGUUGGAAAGUUUCGGCGGUUGGGGAUGGACUCGCGGCUUAUCAGCUUGUUGGUGGGGUAGUGGCUUACCAAGGCUUUGACGGGUAGCCGGCCUGAGAGGGUGACCGGCCACAUUGGGACUGAGAAACGGCCCAGACUCCUACGGGAGGCAGGAGUGGGGAAUAUUGCACAAUGGGCGGAAGCCUGAUGCAGCAACGCCGCGUGCGGGAUGGCGGCCUUCGGGUUGUAAACCGCUUUCGCCUGUGACGAAGCGUGAGUGACGGUAAGGGGUAAAGAAGCACCGGCUAACUACG